CCCACAGCGAGGUCCUCCUGACCCACAACUAAGUCCUCCAGCCCCAUAGUGGGAUCCUCCAGACCCACAACUCGGUCCUCCUGCCCCACAAACGGGUCCUCCAGCCCCACAGCGAGGUCCUCCAGCCCCAGAGCGAGGUCCUCCAGCCCCACAACUCGGUCCUCCUGCCCCACAAACGGGUCCUCCAGCCCCAGAGCAAGGUCCUCCUGACCAACAACUCAGUCCUCCUGCCCCAUAGCGAGGUCCUCCAGCCUCACAACUCAGUCCUCCAGCCCCACAACUCAGUCCUCCAGUCCCAUAGUGAGGUCCUCCAGCCCCACAACUAGGUCCUCCAGCCUCAUAGCAAGGUCCUCCAGACCCAAAAGUUGGUCCUCCAGCCCCACAACUCAGUCCUCCAGCCCCACAUCUCAGUCCUCCAGCCCCACUUCCAAGUCCUCCAACCCCACAACUCAGUCCUCCAGCCCCACAUCCAAGUCCUCCAGCCCCCCAACUCAGUCCUCCAGGGGGUGAAAGAACCAAUCAGGGCAGCUGCCCUUAUUUGGGCCGCGGCCCCUUUAAGAAGCGCCGAUCGCACCCAAAGGGGCAAAGAGCGCCGGGCAAAGGGCGCCCCGCCCCAUAGCGACUCGGUCCUCCUGCCCCACAACUAGGUCCUCCAGCCCCACAGCGAGGUCCUCCUGCCCCACAACUCGGUCCUCCAGUGAACAGUGAGGUCCUCCAGCCCCACAACUUGGUCCUCCAGCCCCACAACUAGGUCCUCCUGCCCCACAGCAAGGUCCUCCAGCCCCGUAGCGAGGUCCUCCUGCCCCACAAGUAGGUCCUCCAGCCCUAUAGCGAGGUGCUCCUGCCCCACAACUCGGUCCUCCUGCCCCAUAGCGAGGUCCUCCAGCCCCACAAGUCGGUCCUCCAGCACCACAAGUCGGUCCUCCAGCCACUCAUUCAAGUCCUCCAGCCCCCCAACUCGGUCCUCCAGCCCCACAC
ensembl:lncRNA